ensembl:miRNA
AGGUCAUAGAAAGACAUAGUUGCAAGAUGGGAUUAGAAGCCAUAUGUCUCAUCAGCACCCUAUGUUCUUUCUGUGCCCU